rnacentral:rRNA from 1 species
AUUGAACGCUGGCGGCAUGCCUUACACAUGCAAGUCGAACGGUAACGGGCCUUCGGGUGCCGACGAGUGGCGAACGGGUGAGUAAUACAUCGGAACGUGCCCGAUCGUGGGGGAUAACGAGGCGAAAGCUUUGCUAAUACCGCAUACGAUCUACGGAUGAAAGCAGGGGACCGCAAGGCCUUGCGCGGACGGAGCGGCCGAUGGCAGAUUAGGUAGUUGGUGGGAUAAAAGCUUACCAAGCCGACGAUCUGUAGCUGGUCGGAGAGGAUGAUCAGCCACACUGGGACUGAGACACGGCCCAGACUCCUACGGGAGGCAGCAGUGGGGAAUUUUGGACAAUGGGCGCAAGCCUGAUCCAGCCAUGCCGCGUGCAGGAUGAAGGCCUUCGGGUUGUAAACUGCUUUUGUACGGAACGAAAAGCCUUCUUUUAAUACAGGAGGGUCAUGACGGUACCGUAAGAAUAAGCACCGGCUAACUACGUG